CACUCUGUGUGUUCCUCUGUCUGUGCCUUUCUCCCGCCCCGGUUUUGGGGUUUGGGAGUCCCAGGCACUUGUCUCUUGUCUUGAGGCCCCUUCCCAAAUUUUUGGGAGGGGGGUCCGUCUCCCCGUGUUGUCCCCUGUCUGUCCCUAUGUGUUGACCCACUGCCACCCUGGAUGCUGCUGCGCCGCGCCGCUGCGACACAGGUAAGUGCUGCGACUGCCCCCCUGGAUGCUGCUGCUGCGACGGAUUCACCACUGAUUUACUUGAUUCACUGAUUCACUGAUUCAGUUGCUGACUACUGGCUAAUGGCUACUGGCGUGCGUGUGCGGGCGCGGUGCGGGCCUUCCCGAGUGAAGGCCGCUCCCGCGCCCCGGGACCCGGCGGAGCUUCCGCUGGCGAAGAGCCGGGCGGAGAGCCCCGAGUGACCGCGUCCCGCGGGAGGAUCCCCCGGGGGCGCCUCCGCCAGCAGAGCCGUGGGCAUUUCAGGUGGGUGCGGGGCUGUGCGGGAUCCCCCUGGAGUCGGAGGAGUCGGGAGAGAAGCGGCGGUGGAGCAGCGCGGGACGGUUCCAGUACCAUGGGGCAGAUGGCAGCAACAUCAGGAAGCCUCGGAACUGCUUGAUUCCCAAGUCCAUGGAUUCCUUGAUGCCCUGGGUGCAGGAGCAGCUGGAUGACUAAACCCUCCUCCCUGCCAAGGUGCUGCAGGAGGAGCUGAAGAGCAGAGGUGCUGCACAUUUCUUCACCUGCACUAACAAGCCCUGAUGGUGUCUGUGCUCUGAGCAGCCACUCAGGAAAGGAGUCCCAGGGCAGCUGCUGCUCAGCAAUCAGUUGUGGAGCAGGAAGCUGCUGGCAGGGUUAACCUCACAGCUCCUGCAGAGUGGAAGUGAGCAGUGGCUGCUGGUGUCAGCAGUGUCCCUGAGGUGUCAUGGGAAGUGAAGCCCAAGAGUGGUUGGCACCUGAAGGCAGAGCAGAGGAGCAGCUGCCUCGUGUCCAUGGGUUGAAUUCCUGUCAGAGAGACAAACAGAACACCAAGGGAAUUCAUACCUGGAACCCAUGUCCAGCACUCUGCAUCUGCUGGUAACUUCCUGUAUCCAUGUGCCACCAGUACUGAGAGAACAUGGGUUACUGGUGAUGCCACUGUAAAUAAAAUAUUUUAAUAUAUUGC